CGUGGCUUGACUGUGCGGUUGUAGGCUCUACUAACUUGUUGGUAGUAUAGGGCUACUUUCCUAACUGCUUUUGCCUUUUUUUCCUUGAGUAACUCAAGGUCUUUCCACCUCCAGCUUACGUAUGCUACGACAUCCCAUUACACAUCAUUGAAUGGUGAAACUCUUGUUGUGAGCAUCAACAUUUCCAUAGGGGAAAUAGCUUCAGAUCCAUACGCUAAGGAGUAAGGAGAAAAACCAGUAAUGUUCUUUAGAGAUGUACGAUCGGCCCAUAUGACGUCUGGGAGAUGCAUGUUUCGACCCACAACAUAGUUGUGUACCAUCUUGUUUAGUAUCCUUAGCAAUGUCUUAUUUGUGGCUUCGGCUUGACUAUUUCCCUAGGGAUAAUACGGCGUGCUGCGACAGUGUUUGUCCUGUAAGCAUCAAGUGUGGCACUUACUUGUUUGUUCACAAAAGGUGUGCUAUUGUAGUUCACUAUCUUGUAAGGUAUCCAAAUAGGCAAACGAUGCAUUCCCUGAUGAAAUUGGAUAAUACUGCUCCUAUUGUUUUCCUUAGACGGAUUGUUUUCACCCACUUUGUGAAGUACUCAGUGGCUACUAAGAUCCAUAUGUGACCUUCAGAAGCUAGGUUGAUGGUUCCUAUCAAA
rnacentral:lncRNA from 1 species